rnacentral:tRNA from 1 species
GGUGGCUCAGUGGUAGAGCGCUUGCCUUGCAUGCCAAAGCCCUGGGUUCAAUUCCUCAGCACCA